UCUUGUGGUGCGCCGUUUUUUAAGCCGGUCAGAAAAGCGCAGUAUUUGGGUGGGAGCGACCCGAUUUUCCAGGUGCGUCGGUCACCCCUUCCUUUGACUCGGAAAGGGAACUCCCUGACCCCUUGCGCUUCCCAAGUGAGGCAAUGCCUCGCCCUGCUUCGGCUCGCGCAGGGUGCACACACCCACUGACCUGUGCCCACUGUCUGGCACUCCCUAGAUAGAUGAACCCGGUACCUCAGAUGGAAAUGCAGAAAUCACCCUUCUUCUGUGUCGCUCAGGCUGGGAGCUGUAGACCGGAGCUGUUCCUAUUCGGCCAUCUUGGCUCCUCCCCCACCCCCGUAUUAUCUUAAAAAUUACAAAAGAUGAUCAAGAGGAGCAUGAAAAAAUCCCCUGAAUCCAUUGGCUUUCUUCCCUAUACUGACAACAGUUUACUUGUGUAAGAGAUGCAUGCCUCGACUCCGGACCCCUUCUUUCAUCUGCAAAAUCAGCAGCACCCUCACAUCAUCUCCUGUAACAAACUCUCUCUGUCUCCUCCAUAUAAGGUCACUGAUGGUUACAUUUAGGGUCCAUGAUAUAAGAAGAUGGAUGUCUAUUGCUUUUCUCUUGAUAUUCAUGGCACUGCUCCUCUCCAUCCAUAGGAUUAUCUUAUAGAUGAGGGUCUCAUCCUUUUGCCCAGGCUGGAGUACAGUGGUGUGUAUGUAGCACACUGCAGCCUUCAACUCCUGAUCCUCCAACCUCAGCCUCCACAGUUGCUGGGAUUACAAGUUCAAGUUGGUGUGUAUCUGCAAAGGCGAUGGAAAGGAGUUCUUACAUAUGCAUAUUCUGAAGAAGGAUGUUACCCUUACUGAAAAACUUAUUCCAAGAUAUGUUUAAUCAAUCAUGAGAAAAAUAAAGAGACAUCCUUAUGAAUGGAGAAUAAAGUCCUCAGGGUUUUUUUCUAAUUCCCCAUGUGAAUGAAGAGCUGUGUUAUUCUAAAUAUAGUGUUUGUCAUAAGGCAAUUGUGUUGGUUUGAGUCCUUAGUCGCUGUGACACUGAUAGAAUUCCUAUCUCCAAUUGGAAGGUAAGUUGACCUUGCCUCACUUUUGGGCAUUUACAAAGUAAAAGUGUCUUCAUAUUCCAG
rnacentral:lncRNA from 1 species